rnacentral:rRNA from 1 species
CCUACGGGCGGCUGCAGUGGGGAGUAUUGCACAAUGGGCGCAAGCCUGAUGCAGCCAUGCCGCGUGUGUGAAGAAGGCCUUCGGGUUGUAAAGCACUUUCAGCGGGGAGGAAGGCGUUAAGGUUAAUAACCUUGUCGAUUGACGUUACCCGCAGAAGAAGCACCGGCUAACUCCGUGCCAGCAGCCGCGGUAAUACGGAGGGUGCAAGCGUUAAUCGGAAUUACUGGGCGUAAAGCGCACGCAGGCGGUCUGUCAAGUCGGAUGUGAAAUCCCCGGGCUCAACCUGGGAACUGCAUUCGAAACUGGCAGGCUAGAGUCUUGUAGAGGGGGGUAGAAUUCCAGGUGUAGCGGUGAAAUGCGUAGAGAUCUGGAGGAAUACCGGUGGCGAAGGCGGCCCCCUGGACAAAGACUGACGCUCAGGUGCGAAAGCGUGGGGAGCAAACAGGAUUAGAUACCCCGGUAGUC